rnacentral:rRNA from 1 species
UACGGGGGGGGCAAGCGUUGUUCGGAAUUACUGGGCGUAAAGGGCUCGUAGGCGGCCAACUAAGUCCGACGUGAAAUCCCAAGGCUUAACCUUGGAACUGCGUCGGAUACUGGAUGGCUUGAAUUCGGGAGAGGGAUGCAGAAUUCCAGGUGUAGCGGUGAAAUGCGUAGAUAUCGUGGAGAACACCCGUGGCGAAGGCGGGCUUCUGGUUGACUUCUGACGCUGAGGUGCGAAAGCUAGGGGAGCGAACGGG